rnacentral:rRNA from 1 species
AUUGAACGCUGGCGGCAUGCCUUACACAUGCAAGUCGAACGGCAGCACGGGUGCUUGCACCUGGUGGCGAGUGGCGAACGGGUGAGUAAUACAUCGGAACAUGUCCUGUAGUGGGGGAUAGCCCGGCGAAAGCCGGAUUAAUACCGUAUACGAUCUACGGAUGAAAGCGGGGGACCUUCGGGCCUCGCGCUAUAGGGUUGGCCGAUGGCUGAUUAGCUAGUUGGUGGGGUAAAGGCCUACCAAGGCGACGAUCAGUAGCUGGUCUGAGAGGACGACCAGCCACACUGGGACUGAGACACGGCCCAGACUCCUACGGGAGGCAGCAGUGGGGAAUUUUGGACAAUGGGCGAAAGCCUGAUCCAGCAAUGCCGCGUGUGUGAAGAAGGCCUUCGGGUUGUAAAGCACUUUUGUCCGGAAAGAAAUCCUUGGCCCUAAUACGGUCGGGGGAUGACGGUACCGGAAGAAUAAGCACCGGCUAACUACGUG